GAGUUUGAUCCUGGCUCAGGAUGAACGCUAGCGGCAGGCCUAAUACAUGCAAGUCGAACGGUAACAUUGGUGCUUGCACCAGAUGACGAGUGGCGCACGGGUGCGUAACGCGUAUGCAAUCUACCUUUUACUAGAGUAUAGCCCAGAGAAAUUUGGAUUAAUCCUCUAUAAUAUCUUUUAAUUUCAUGAUUUUAAGAUUAAAGUUUUAACGGUAAAAGAUGAGCAUGCGUCCUAUUAGUUUGUAGGUGAGGUAACGGCUCACCUAGACUACGAUAGGUAGGGGCCCUGAGAGGGGGAUCCCCCACACUGGUACUGAGACACGGACCAGACUCCUACGGGAGGCAGCAGUAAGGAAUAUUGGACAAUGGACGAAAGUCUGAUCCAGCCAUGCCGCGUGCAGGAUGAAAGCCCUACGGGUUGUGAACUGCUUUUAUACAGGAAGAGACACUCCGACGUGUCGAGCUUGACGGUACUGUAAGAAUAAGGAUCGGCUAACUCCGUGCCAGCAGCCGCGGUAAUACGGAGGAUCCAAGCGUUAUCCGGAAUCAUUGGGUUUAAAGGGUCCGCAGCUGUUUUUUAAGUCAGAGGUGAAAUCCUACAGCUCAACUGUAGAACUGCCUUUGAUACUGAAAAACUUGAGUUAUUGUGAAGUGGUUAGAAUGUGUGGUGUAGCGGUGAAAUGCAUAGAUAUCACACAGAAUACCGAUUGCGAAGGCAGAUCACUAACAAUAUACUGACGCUCAUGGACGAAAGCGUGGGGGAGCGAACAGGAUUAGAUACCCUGGUAGUCCACGCCGUAAACGAUGGAUACUAGCUGUUCGUCUAACAUUGGUUAGAUGAGUGGCUAAGCGAAAGUGAUAAGUAUCCCACCUGGGGAGUACGGUCGCAAGACUGAAACUCAAAGGAAUUGACGGGGGCCCGCACAAGCGGUGGA
rnacentral:rRNA from 1 species